UGCGCAGCUCAGGCUUUGCAGGAUGC
rnacentral:piRNA from 1 species